rnacentral:lncRNA from 1 species
UCUAAGAGGGAUCGUAUCAUUUAUUACUCCAGCCUCUUUAGUUGGCUGAAAUAGCAAUGCAUUACAACAUAAUUCAGUGGGCCCAUCACCAAACCAUUGUUUGGUUGGUUGUAAUAAGCUAUUUCAGCCAAAUUCCAUUAUGGGUUUAUUCAACUGAAAAUGCAUCACACCAUUCAGUAUUCAGGACAUGGGUUGUAUAACAAAUUAGCCAAGGUUUUCAUUUUACCCUCACUAUUCUCCUUUCUUUCCCACUUCUUAAAUCCUUGAUUUUUUUUCCGUGUUUCUUCCCCAGCUUAAUCUCUUCUACACUUAAUUUAAACAUUUUUUAAUCACAUUUCCUUCUAACCCUAUCUGCAUCACACACCAAAACUCUUUUUCUCUUCAAAUUGGAAAUUCUUGAUAGCUUAAUCCACUGAAAAAAAAAAGGUGAAGCAUUUUUUGAGUCGUCUCGCAGGAUCCAAGAUCCGGUAAGUUUUAAUUUGGAUCCAAAUUUCAAAUCCCCUAGAUCUGUACAUGUUCUUAUAAUGGGUUUUGGUUUAUAGAUCUAAUCUCCCAAUUCUUAGUUUAUUUGAUACUCUUUUAUCAAAUUGUAAACCUUUUGCAUUAAUAUGAAUCUUUUAUUUUUCAGUAGUUUCUGUUGAAAUUGCUAUUUUAUGUUAUUCAUUGUUACUUUUUUUUAUUGUGUAUAUAGAUGUACUGCUUUUAAAGUUGAUUUCAAUGGAAUUAUUGUAUAAUUGCGCUUGUGGGUUCUUUUCUGGAUUUUUACUAUUUCAAUGUACCUAUAUUAGAUAAUGGCUAAAAGAAUUGCAUACAACUCCGUUUUCAAUAUUUCAUUUCUAUUAUCUUCUAAUGUAACAUGUUUCAUCUUUGUUUCUCUUGAUUGGGUGUCAAAUAUUGGUCCUUUAUGUUCCUAAAGAUCCUGUCAUUUUUGAAACAAGGGAAGAAACAGAGUUAAAUAAUGAACUACAACGAACGAUGAUGAAGAUCCUUGAAGAUGAGGAUUGUGUAUUGUGAGAUAAAUAAUUAUGCAUAUCAAGGUAUGAAUUAAUUAAUUGAAUUCGAAUAAAAUUCAAGGAUUUAUAAGUUGGCCGAUUAAUGUUCAAUUAUAAACCAUCUAAUUCAUCAGUAAAACAACAAAAAAAAGUAUAGAAAUGAAAACUAGUCCCUACUCACAAUCAGUGCUACAUAACAGGCUUUCUAUGCUUCAACCAUUACUGCCAUUUCAAUCCUUUUAUAGCUACAAUGACAAGUCCAGCAUAUAUAUCGCUCAACUCAACUGAUAGAUCUUUGAUUGGAAAUUGAUUAAAAAAAAUGCCUUCAAUUGAUUACAAGUUUGCAGUGAAGCCUUCAUCUCUUAAGAAGGUACCUUCAAUUUGUAUGUAGGAUCGAAGGCAGUGUUAUGGGCCAAAACAGAAAUCAGGACAUUUAAGGAGCUAAGUAGAAUGGUGCAUUGACUCUUGUACUUAAAAUUGACUUUAUUUGAUUCGCUCUUUCUGCUUUUUGGAUCAUUUGUCAACCUUAUAGAAAUGUUCUUGGAUCUAAUUAAUGAGUUUCUUAUUUUUUUUUUCAUCAGAUUUGAUCACUUGGUUUAGGACUUGAACUCUCUUUAGAAUUUAAUUUUUUUCCCAUUGUGUUGUGUUUUCA